rnacentral:lncRNA from 1 species
AAACUAUUGGUUCAUACCACACUGUGAGUUAAGUGUCAGAAAAGGAACCAGUGGGCAAAGUAUUUCCUUCGAUUGGCACAACAACACGAGUUGAUGUAGGUGGGCUUACUGACCAUCCACACAGGGAGUGCCACCAAAGAGGCUGCGGUGUGUGGUUGGCUAAUUAGCCACCAAGUCCAAAAACAGACUUAAUCAUAACCUUCUAUGUUUUUCAGCAGAAUAUAUCGGCCAUAGACAUCGUUAUUGAAAUAUGCGAUUGGAUAAGAAGUCAGCAUGCUACCUCAACAUAAAACAUAGAGACAUUACAAUGGAACAUCAAAGCGAAUAGUCGGUUUGCACCAGAUCAAAACAACAAUAUAUAAUCCAUACAGCAUCGCUUUUUUUAACGAUGAAAAUUUCUGCCUUUUGAUGUCAAAACUAAACUAUUGGUUAUUACCGAGUUGUGAGUUAAAGUGUCAGAAAAGGAACCACUAGGCAAAGUAUUUCCUUCGAUUGGCACAACAACACGAGUUGAUGUAGGUGGGCUUACUGACCAUCCACACAGGGAGUGCUGCCAUUGAGGCUGCGGUGUGUGGUUGGCUAAUUAGCCACCAAGUCGAGAUACAGACUUAACCAUAACCUUCUACGUUUUUUCAGCAGAAUAUGUCGGCCAUGGACAUCGGUAUUGAACUGAAGUUAAAAGUGGCCCGCCAUUACAAAUCCAACAAGCAACAGAUCUAGAAACUUCGAUAAUCAAAUAUAUCAUAGCAAGAUGUUUACCACGAAAAUAGGAGGGGGAAGGGGAUUACCCAGACGAAAUCCACCGGUGAAGUUUUUUUCUUCAAUAGGAACUGCUACGGUAGCCAAGGACGGGGUGGCAACAGACAGCUCCGGAGCUGGGAGCGGCGGCUAGGGUUUUAAAGUUGGCCUAGCGAAUUAGGGUUCCUUCGAUGUUACUCGAACACUUCAUGCAUCGCUCUCGU